rnacentral:tRNA from 1 species
AGGACUUUAGAUUAUAUAAAUCGAGAACCUUCAAAGUUCUAGAUAGGAGAUGCCUCCUAGGCCCUG